AUUGAACGCUGGCGGCAUGCCUUACACAUGCAAGUCGAACGGCAGCACGGGAGCUUGCUCCUGGUGGCGAGUGGCGAACGGGUGAGUAAUAUAUCGGAACGUGCCAGUCGUGGGGGAUAACGCAGCGAAAGCUGUGCUAAUACCGCAUACGAUCUAAGGAUGAAAGCGGGGGAUCGCAAGACCUCGCGCGAUUGGAGCGGCCGAUAUCAGAUUAGCUAGUUGGUGGGGUAAAGGCCCACCAAGGCGAAGAUCUGUAGCCGGUCUGAGAGGACGACCAGCCACACUGGACCUGGGACACGGUCCAGACUCCUACGGGAGGCAGCAGUGGGGAAUUUUGGACAAUGGGCGCAAGCCUGAUCCAGCAAUGCCGCGUGCAGGAUGAAGGCCUUCGGGUUGUAAACUGCUUUUGUACGGAACGAAACGGCCCUUUCUAAUACAGGGGGCUAAUGACGGUACCGUAAGAAUAAGCACCGGCUAACUACGUGCCAGCAGCCGCAGUAACAC
rnacentral:rRNA from 1 species